rnacentral:lncRNA from 1 species
GCCUGUGUGCAUCAUUCAAAAUUAGAGAAUGUAAUUUUGAAGUAUCAAGUCUCAAUUCAAGAUUAUGAAUGAAUAGAAUAUAGUAUUACGGAAAGGGAGGGGGGAGGGUGUAGGACCUUUAUCGGAACUGCGGGAUCGGGUGUUUUUAAGCUCGGGAUUUCGGGAUUGACCCUUCCGGGAUCCGGGAAUUCUAUUUCCGAAUUUAGGUAGUCGGGAUUUAAUUUUUUUUUUAAUUCGGGACCUCGCCGGAUUUCGUGUUUUUAGGCCCGGGAUUUCGGGAUCUGGAUCCCUCCUUCCCUCCCCCCUCUAUUAUGGUUAAAGAAAAGAGGUCAGGGAAGUUUUGUGAUACUUGUAACUGCAAUUUAAUAUUUCGUGGAAUGAGAGGUGAAAUGUGUUCAGACUAUUACAUUUUGAUUUUUUUUAAAAUUU